UGCAUCGGCCGUGAAUCGAACCUGGGCCGGCCGCGUGGCAGGCGAGCAUUCUACCACUAAGCCACCGAUGG
rnacentral:tRNA from 1 species